UACGUAGGGUGCGAGCGUUGUCCGGAAUUAUUGGGCGUAAAGAGCUUGUAGGCGGUUUGUCGCGUCUGCCGUGAAAAUCCGGGGCUCAACCCCGGACUUGCGGUGGGUACGGGCAGACUAGAGUGUGGUAGGGGGAGACUGGAAUUCCUGGUGUAGCGGUGAAAUGCGCAGAUAUCAGGAGGAACACCGAUGGCGAAGGCAGGUCUCUGGGCCACUACUGACGCUGAGGAGCGAAAGCGUGGGGAGCGAACAGG
rnacentral:rRNA from 1 species